ACUAGAUAUCAAGAUGAAGGCAGCCUUGAUAGCAGCCACGGUCCUCACACUGGUCUGCUCCCUUCAUAAAGCCAGCUCUCUGGGGAAGCUGAACGUACCAGUGGUUUACUUCCCUAUGUCCCCUCCAGCACUGGAGUCAAGGUUGAGCACUAAACCGGACAUAGUGUCAGUGAAGCCGCUGUAUUUGGAGCGAGGUGCUAUCGGGAGGCAGAACUCACGGCUCAGUCCACUCAGCCAAUCAGAUUGAGCAGUAUUAGCAUCGCUGAGGAGAUUGGUGUUGGAAAGUCCACCCUCCUCCGCUCUAUGGCGUGUUGUGAGCUGCGUCUACCAGCUGGUGUGAGUGUACUACACGUGGAGCAAGAGGUCACCGGGGACAACACAUUAGCACUGGAUAGUGUACUCGAGUGUGACACUGAGAGAGUGCAGCUACUCGCUAGAGAGGGGGCCUCAGAGGACAAGGACACAGCAGCAGGCAGCGCUUCUGAUGAACUGGCUGAGGCAUACCUUCCACUACAGGAGAUAGACGCUGACAAAGCACCAGCAAGAGCUGGCUGUAUUCUGGCUGGUCUGGGGUUCACUCCACAGAAGAAUGAGAUUUUAUCUGGCCAAGACACUUUGCAAGGUAAGCAGUUUUUGUGAGACGGAAGUGCUGACAUUAAUUAAUCUUCUGUUUUCUGGGGUAAGGCGUGGGUGUUUUUUUAGAAUCAGGCCUGUUUUCAGAGCUAUCUUUUAGCUGCCAUAACUUGAAUUCCGUGGAUACAAUUUCAAUGGUUUUUUGAUUUUCUGAAAGCUUAAAAAGAGACCUUUCAAAUGGUGUCAUCAAAGUUUAUAUUCGAGAGAUAAAAGUAUUUGCCAAUUUGGCCAUACCAUGAAUAAUAUCCCAUGGUCCAAGGCGGAAAAAUUACAAAUUAGGGCCCCAACAAAAUUUUGGAUCGAAACACAUCAUUUGAAAGGUCUCUUUCUAAGCUUUCAGAAAAUCAUGACAUUUUUGACAUUGGAUCAACGGUAUUAAAGUUAAUGGCUGUUGAAAAAUCAGGUUUGUUUUUAGAGCUAUCUUUUAGAUGCCAUAACUUGUGUUAGGAACGUCCUAUUUAACAAACUCAAAGACGCAUUCUGUAGCUCUGAGAAAGCACUAUUGUAUACAAUUAAAGUGUCUUAAAACCGCUAAUUGCUCGCAGUGCCAAAGCUCACUAAUUUGUGUGUCCUAUGCUGUAGAUGUGGGAACACGGAACCAUCGUUGGUUGUGUGCAGUGUAUUAUAGUCGUACCCCCGGGUUUGAAGUGAUCCAUGGACUACUGGACCGUGUCAUGCAGCUGCUGGAGGUGUCCUUCACCAAAGAUGGCAGUGGAUACUUCCUGAAGGCAGCUGAAGUUCCCGGGCCUUUGUGCAGAUGUGUGUGUACGUGGGAAGGUGAUCGGGAAACUGGGCGUGCUCCAUCCUGGUGUGUCUGUUGUGCAGCUCUAGUGUGUGUGAGACUUUGAGGUGUGUCUGGUGCAGCUGUUCUCACGGCCUCCUCCAACCAGUACCUGCCCUCCGUACUCUCCAGGGAGAACCUAUUUCCUCAGGGUCUCCAUGGUGAUAUGGUGCUGUUAGCGGGCAGCAACACUGGUAUGGCCAAGGUCAAGGUCCGUCUGAGAGAGAUGGCGUUACAGGGGGUGGAGCCUGAUAUCAUCAAGCUACUAGUCAUUGAGAACAUGAUGCUACAACCCUCCAUGGAUGUGUACAUUCUGCCACUGCCACCCACGGAGGUCAAGGGUCACCGGACUGGACGCCAUCCUACAAGACAACUAAAUUAUUGUGUGUGGAAUCUUUUGUGCCGAGCCUGUUUCCAUGACGAUAAGACCAGUGAUUGGUCAUAUGCCAAACUGCCCUCUAUUGACUCAGACCAAAAAUCACAAUAUUCAGUUUUUCCUGUGCGGCCUUCCAAAUGAAAUAACACUGUAUGGGGCGUUUGUCAACUUCACAUCACUGCAUUGGAUGUGGUGAUUGUCCAAUCAGAAUGCUCUACCCACCCCCCAGACCUCCUCACUACAACACAAGGACUCAGAUAAUCGAUGCUGCAUUGAGAGAGUUAGAGCUCCUGUUACUAAAACUAUACAAGACAGAGGACUAAGUCUAAGAAGAGUGCUACACGUAUCUCUAAAGGCAAGUUUUAUGAAAAUGCUGAUUCAGCAAAUAUUAAUGUUAGGCGUACGGUUGUCGGACCUCCUCUGCACACACACACACAAACACACUACCGUAACCUCGCUUGCGCAUGCGCACCGAGGCAUAAUUAUAGUUGGCCCAAUUUCAGUUCAAUACCGUGAACUACAGUCCUGGUCUUUUUCUAAUUUUGUGUAGCAUUCAAAAUGUGGGGGUUGAUUGCGCCAUUUUAUAGAGCUUCUUCUUAGGUUUCAUAAAACCAUAAAACUAUUGAAAUUGCAUACAUACAAAAUGCACACAUACACCUACACACACCACACACACACUCACACACACACACACACACACACACACACACACACACACACACACACACAUGCACACACACACACACACACACACACACACACACACACACACACACACACACACACACACACACACACACUAUGCAAGUGACCCCCAAACACCUCGUCAUUCCCUGGGACCCCCAAACAGAGUUCAAAUACCAGCACCAAUUGAAUGUGAGUGUGCUAGCUAGCUUGUUAGAGCUAAACCUGUGUAGGGUACCAGCUACAUAGGCUUGUACAUGGCUUGUAAUAAUAAUUACCGUAUAGCGAGUAAUUUACGUGAGGUGGAAAUGUUCGUAUUUUUCGUAUUGUAGAGCAUCAUACGAAAAUGAAAACUGCUCUACCGCUAUAGGUUCAACGUCACUAUCCUGAGCUAUACCAAUAUUUAGAAUACAAAGUGCACGUAAGAACAGUUCAUACGAACAUUUGCAUCAAAGAAAAGUGUAGUAGACAGUUGUAUAAUUCCGAUUGUAACAGAAUGAGCUCAUAAAGAAGAUUAUCCAUGCAACUCCCACGCACACUCCAUUCUGAUCUGUUUAGAAUAAAUCUCAUAUUUGGCCGACAUUGAUGAAUUAGCAUGCAGGGGAGGGGGUAGUUGAACAUCUUUCAAUAGCCAUAACUUUAGUUCCGUUGAUCUAAUGUCAAAACUCUCACGAUUUUUCUGAAAGCUUAGAAAGAGACCUUUCAAAUGAUGUUUUUCGAUCUAAAAUUUUUUUGCAGCCAGAAUUUGUUGUUUUUCGGAAGUAAUGAACUUUGAUGUCUCUUUCUAAGCUCACACAAAAUCAGAAAAUCGUUGAAAUAAUUAUGAUCCACUGAAUUCAAGUUUUGGCAACGUAAACAUGCACUCCUCAGACCAUUGAUUAAACUGAUGGGGUUGUUGAACGGCCCUAACUUUAGUGUUAUUGAUCCAGUGAAAAGUCCUAGAGCAAAUUUUAGGAUGAGGGGGGGCUGGUGUUUAAUAAUUAUGUUUAAAAGCUCCCUCUAAUUUACCCCUGUGAUUAACCCCCCCACACACACACACACACACACACACUCACACCCACACCCACACACACACGCACGCACACACGGCCACGGGGCAGACACUGCGUUGUGACGUAUUUGUAGCGUAUUGAGAUCACAACUCGUACGAGGGAGCUGCUGUUGGGGGAGGAGCCCGAACGUUUCAGUGUGCAGGCUUUUUACGAGGAAGUCUCAUGCAUGGACAAAGAUGAUGUGUACAGUUUUGGAGUGCUUGCUUGUGAAGUGGUGAAUGCCAGAUUUCCUGAAGCUGCUGUAUUUCUUGGUCUGCUAUCGAGUAUGGAAGGUGUAUGGCGGGAGCUCCACCCACUCAUCACCUCCUGUGUCUCUCACUCCCCUCAGGACAGACCCUCCAUGGACACAGUGCUACACCACAUCAAACAAUUGGACUCUGAGUCUUAGCAUUGGUGCAUGAGUGUGUUAUUAUUAAUU